AAUAUUGCACAAUGGAGGAAACUCUGAUGCAGCGACGCCGCGUGAGCGAUGAAGGCCUUCGGGUCGUAAAGUUCUGUCCUUGGGGACGAUAAUGACGGUACCCAAGGAGGAAGCCCCGGCUAACUACGUGCCAGCAGCCGCGGUAAUACGUAGGGGGCAAGCGUUGUCCGGAAUUACUGGGCGUAAAGGGUGCGUAGGCGGCCUAAUAAGUCAGAUGUGAAAUACCGAGGCUCAACCUCGGAGGUGCAUUUGAAACUGUUGGGCUUGAGUGCAGGAGAGGAAAGUGGAAUUCCUAGUGUAGCGGUGAAAUGCGUAGAGAUUAGGAGGAACACCAGUGGCGAAGGCGACUUUCUGGACUGUAACUGACGCUGAGGCACGAAAGCGUGGGGAGCAAAC
rnacentral:rRNA from 1 species